UACAUGGGGUGCAAACGUUGCUCGGAAUUAUUGGGCGCAAAGCGCGCGUAGGCGGUUACUCAAGUCGGAUGUGAAAGCCCUCGGCUUAACUGAGGAAGUGCACCCGAAACUGAGUAGCUAGAGUACUAAAGAGGGUCGCGGAAUUCCCGGUGUAGAGGUGAAAUUCGUAGAUAUCGGGAGGAACACCGGUGGCGAAGGCGGCGACCUGGGUAGAUACUGACGCUGAGGCGCGAAAGCGUGGGGAGCGAACAGG
rnacentral:rRNA from 1 species